UCUAACGUGGCAGAAUAGUGCUAUGAACUUAAACUUCAUCCAUGGGGCCCCUUCCCCCGUUAGAA
rnacentral:tRNA from 2 species